CACGUAGGGUGCGAGCGUUGUCCGGAAUUAUUGGGCGUAAAGAGCUCGUAGGCGGUGUGUCGCGUCGGCCGUGAAAACCUGCAGCUUAACCGUGGGCUUGCGGUCGAUACGGGCAUCACUGGAGUUCGGCAGGGGAGACUGGAAUUCCUGGUGUAGCGGUGAAAUGCGCAGAUAUCAGGAGAAACACCGGUGGCGAGGGCGGUCUCUGGGCCGAUACUGACGCUGAGGCACGAAAGCGUGGGGAGCAAACAGG
rnacentral:rRNA from 1 species